UCCCUCACUCUCCACGUUUACCUGAUCCCACCUGAUCCUGGUCUUCAGCAGCACUUGGACAAAAUGGAAAUAUCUCAUGGAUACAAAGAAAUUCGAAAGCCAAAACCAGAGAAGCCCUUGAAAAUGCAUAAUUGGUUCAAAUUAACAACAGAUCUGGAUGGUGCAGACAUUUAUCCUCAAGGCGAGGAACCCCAGACAAUAAUGCUCAGGUACGACAGCACAGACCCAAAUUUCUAUGAAGUGGUCAAAAAAAAUCCAAACAAAGACUUCAAGCUCACGCUCACACCAAAAAAUGGGCAUCAGCCUGUGUGGACCUGUGAAAUUCAAAAAGGUCAGUUUGAAAUAAUACCACAAGAAAUAAUCUCAACUGUCUGCAUACCACGCUCA